GUGUAUCGAGUUCAGUGACGUCAUAAUUUAAGCGGAUUCGGUUAAUGGGAGAACGUUGUCGAUAAAUAUCAAAAAGGAAGAAGAAAAAAAAGAGGAAAAAUUGUCGGUGAAUCCUCUUAUACAGUUUUAUACAUCCGCAUAUAAAAUCAUGGGACGAAUUCGAACUUUUGGAAUUAUUCAGCAUAGCAUAUCAAAAGGGAAUCAGUGAUGAAUCUG